AUACUUACUUGGGCAGGGUCAAUCAGUGAUCAAGAAGGUUGGUGGCCUAGAGAAGCCAUCUCCAUUGCACUUGGGAAGGGGGUCUUGCUGACAUCUCCCACUGAGGAGAGUGCACAUCAUAAUCUGUGGUAGUAGGGGCUCAUGUUUGCACUACUUCCAA
rnacentral:snRNA from 1 species